UGGAUUAGGCAUGCAAGUCGAACGAGGGAGUAUUCCGAAAGGAGUACAAAUCGAGUGGCGUAAGGGUGAGUAAUGCAUUGAUAACCUGCCUCUGAGAUGAGGAUAACAACGUUUCAAGUAAUUGAAACUACCGAAAGGGUUGCUAAUACUCAAUAAAACUAUUGUUACUUUUGUAGCGAUAGUCAAAUAGAAGGAGAUGAAAGUUUCCAUUUGCUUAGAGAGGGGUCAAUGUCCUAUCAGCUAGUUGGUAAGGUAAUGGCUUACCAAGGCGAAGACGGGUAGCCGGCCUGAGAGGGUGGUCGGCCACACUGGGACUGAGACACUGCCCAGACUCCUACGGGAGGCUGCAGUCGAGAAUCUUUCGCAAUGCCCGAAAGGGUGACGAAGCGACGCCGCGUGCGGGAAGAAGGCCUUCGGGUUGUAAACCGCUGUCGGGAGUUAAGAAAUGCAAGGAUAUUAAUAGUGUCUUUGCUUGACUAAGGCUCCGGAGGAAGCCACGGCUAACUCUGUGCCAGCAGCCGCGGUAAUACAGAGGCGGCAAGCGUUGUUCGGAAUUAUUGGGCGUAAAGAGCACGUAGGCGGCUAUGUAAGUCGGUUGUGAAAGCCUUCCGCUCAACGGGAGAACAGCAUCCGAUACUGCAUGGCUUGAGUGCGGGAGGGGAGAGUGGAACUUCUGGUGGAGCGGUGAAAUGCGUAGAUAUCAGAAGGAACGCCGGCGGCGAAAGCGGCUCUCUGGCCCGUAACUGACGCUGAGUGUGCGAAAGCUAGGGGAGCAAACGGGAUUAGAUACCCCGGUAGUCCUAGCCGUAAACGAUGGGCACUAGUAGAGGGGUUUUGAUUAUCWCUCUGCWCGAGCUAMSSMAUAAGKU
rnacentral:rRNA from 1 species